AUGGUAGGAUAGAGGCCUACCAUGGUUUUAACGGGUAACGGGGAAUUAGGGUUCGAUUCCGGAGAGGGAGCCUGAGAAACGGCUACCACAUCCAAGGAAGGCAGCAGGCGCGCAAAUUACCCAAUCCCGACACGGGGAGGUAGUGACAAUAAAUAACAAUAUGGGGCUCUUACGAGUCUUGUAAUUGGAAUGAGUACAAUUUAAAUCUCUUAACGAGGAACAAUUGGAGGGCAAGUCUGGUGCCAGCAGCCGCGGUAAUUCCAGCUCCAAUAGCGUAUAUNAAAGUUGUUGCAGUUAAAAAGCUCGUAGUUGAAUUUCGGGAUUUAUCCGUCGGUCGGGCUUUUGGGUCUGUACUGGCGUGAUGGAUUCCUACCUUCUGAAUAACCGGCAUGUCACUAAUUUGGUGCGCCGGGGAAGCAGGACUGUUACCUUGAAAAAAUUAGAGUGCUUAAGGCAGGCUUAUGCCUGAAUACAUUAGCAUGGAAUAAUGAAAUAGGACGGCAUGGUUCUAUUUUGUUGGUUUCUAGGAUCACCGUAAUGAUUAAUAGGGAUAGUUGGGGGCAUUAGUAUUCAAUUGUCAGAGGUGAAAUUCUUGGAUUUAUUGAAGACUAACUUCUGCGAAAGCAUUUGCCAAGGAUGUUUUCAUUAAUCAAGAACGAAAGUUAGGGGAUCGAAGACGAUCAGAUACCGUCGUAGUCUUAACCAUGAACUAUGCCGACUAGGGAUCGGACGAUGUUAAUUUUUUAAUGACUCGUUCGGCGCCUUACGGGAAACCAAAGUGUUUGGG
rnacentral:rRNA from 1 species